UACGUAGGGCGCAAGCGUUGUCCGGAAUUAUUGGGCGUAAAGAGCUCGUAGGUGGCUUGUCACGUCGGGUGUGAAAGCUUGGGGCUUAACUCCAGGUCUGCAUUCGAUACGGGCUGGCUAGAGGUAGGUAGGGGAGAACGGAAUUCCUGGUGUAGCGGUGAAAUGCGCAGAUAUCAGGAGGAACACCGGUGGCGAAGGCGGGUCUCUGGGCCGAUAUUGACGCUGAGGAGCGAAAGCGUGGGGAGCGAACAGG
rnacentral:rRNA from 1 species